rnacentral:rRNA from 1 species
GAUGAACGCUAGCGGGAGGCUUAACACAUGCAAGUCGAGGGGCAUCACGAGGUAGCAAUACUUUGGUGGCGACCGGCGCACGGGUGAGUAACACGUAUGCAACCUUCCCUGUACAGGGGGAUAACCCGGAGAAAUUCGGACUAAUACCCCAUGAUGAUAUUAUGGGGCAUCCUUUAAUAUUUAAAGCUCUGGCGGUACAGGAUGGGCAUGCGCGACAUUAGCUAGUUGGUAAGGUAACGGCUUACCAAGGCGACGAUGUUUAGGGGACCUGAGAGGGUUGUCCCCCACACUGGUACUGAGACACGGACCAGACUCCUACGGGAGGCAGCAGUGAGGAAUAUUGGUCAAUGGGCGCAAGCCUGAACCAGCCAUCCCGCGUGAAGGAAGAAUGCGCUACGCGUUGUAAACUUCUUUUCCAGGGGGAGAAUAAUCCUGUCGUGACAGGAAUUGACGGUACCGUACGAGAAAGCCCCGGCAAACUACGUGCCAGCAGCCGCGGUAAAACGUCUA